AGAACGAACGCUGGCGGCGUGGAUAAGACAUGCAAGUCGAACGCGAUUUAUCAGGUUAGCAAUAACUUGGUAAAUUGAGUGGCGAAAGGGUGCGUAACACGUGGGAAUUUACCAAGAAGUGGGGAAUAGCUCGACGAAAGUCGAAUUAAUACCGCAUACGAUCGCAAGAUCAAAGCCGGGGACCGCAAGGCCUGGCGCUUUUUGAGAAGCCCGCGGCCCAUCAGCUAGUUGCGGGGUAACGGCCCACCAAGGCUAUGACGGGUAGCUGGUCUGAGAGGACGACCAGCCACACUGGAACUGAGACACGGUCCAGACACCUACGGGUGGCAGGCAGUCGAGAAUUUUUUCACAAUGGAC
rnacentral:rRNA from 1 species